rnacentral:lncRNA from 1 species
CAAAAAUCUGCUUGAUUGACCGGUCGUUUAAAGUAGAACGAUGAGACAGGCCGAUUUUCCACACAGUCCUGGGUGCGAUUUAUUUUUAACGUCUUGCAUCUAGAUCUUACUGCUGGAGGCUGCAGAGCGAGUCCCGCCUUCAGAGAACGACCUGCCAGUGGUGAGGACGACGGCCACGUGGUAUGAUGACUUCGUGCCCGACGCCAUUCCUCUAGCCAAGCCGGGGCUACCGGGACCGACGGGGAAACCAGGCCCAAAAGGGGAGAAGGGAGAAGUUGGCGAGAGGGGGAUGUCUGGACCACCAGGUGAGUUCUGGGUGGAGGCAACUAAAGUUAUGAAAAAUAAAAACCCACUCCCCCCUGGGUAUGUUGUUUUGAGGACCCAUAGCGCUCAACCACAUGUUAUAUCUGUUGUCAACAGUCUCUCAGGCGGUGUGUCCUUCUUUGCUGGCCGUUCUUCUGUGCUGGUACUCU